CAGCACACAGGUAACAGAGUAUAGUGAUGCCAGAGACUGAUGACCAAAACAGGGCAAUGAUUUGAGAGUGAUUAGAGAGUUAGGGCAAGGAAGAUCAGGGCAAGGAAUGUUUCUGUGGGCUGGUACCACCUGAACAGAGGAUGGGAGGGAACCAGCCGUGCUCAGAGACCUGAGCAAUGCAGCAGGGAAGAACUGUGAAGACAAAUGUCCUGAGGCAGGGUCAAGUCGGUUGUGUUCAUAGAACAGAAAGAAGCCCGGAGUUGCUGAACUGCAGUGGACAAAGUGGACCACGAAGGUGUGAGUUUAGAGGGUGGAGCCGGAGCUAGAGCAGGGGGACACCUGCAGGCCUUGGCUAGAGAUCUGACUUUUAAUCUAAGUGCAGUGAGAAGAUGUUGGAGGGACUGAAGGGGAAGGGGUCUACAUGAAUGCCUUGGAGUAAGGAAGAACAAUUGGGGGAUUUUUUUUUUCUUUGCUGGGUUUGGAACAAGAAGGACAGCUGUUGAUAAGGGCAAGACCAGUGGGGUCUGUGCACCAGAGUCACUGUUCUCAGUGGCAUUACUCAUUUGGCCUUUACUAUGAAACUGAGGGUGGAGGCUUUCCCCACUACGCCACAUUGCCGGCCCUGGUUUGCCUUGUGAUUGCGUGCCCACAUCUGCGUCUCACUGUCCUCUGUGAAGAACUGAACAGAACUGGACUUGUUAAAUUGUCCAACAGCAUUUUCUUAUUCUGCAGAGGCCUGUCUGUAAGCACGUUAUUUACCCAUUCGGAACUUCAAGGUCCCCACCUAAGGUACUUAAGGUAAAAUGAGAUCAUGAGUGCCAAGUGAUUUGUGUUGUGUGGGAAAGCCUUGGUUACAUUUCUCCAGAGGAAUCUACACAUAGACACUUGGCUCUUAUUUCUAAAGAGACAUGUGCCUGCACACCUUUUGCAAAAGAUCCCUUUUGCAGGUCAUUUUAUCACAUGUAAAGAAUGGCCCUGCUGGUGGAUGAUAUGGGCAGUGAAGUGAGCUCUUUGCUCUCGAAGAUUUAUGACUGAGUAGUCAAAGUGAGGCCACCCAGCUCGGUCAAGCCUGAAGGGAGUGAAAGAGUCGGAGAGGACAGGUGUAGCCCAGCAAGGGGGCAUGGACAAGUGGCUGCAUGGGCUCCUCCUUCCGUUCAGCUGUGUCUCCUGCCUGUCCAAGGCCAAGUAGAAGAUGGAGAAGCCGGUUUCACUGCUACUCGUUAUACACCUGGGAGCAAAUUGAAGCCUUGUGGUAAGAGCCUGUGGAAGAGAAAGGCUUCCUUCUUCAGCUUGAUUUUUCCUCCUGGUUUUCUAGGGACUUGUUUCAGAAGGGGCUUGAGAAGCCAUGCAGUGUAAUUGGAUGCUUGGUGUACUUUAAUUAAGGCAGCGAGAGGCAAUGUGCCACGCAUUGCAGGUUGCUUGUGGUUGUCUGCCGGAUACAGCUAGAAGGAGAGGCUCAUGCUAAUAACCUGGAAGGUGAAAUUGCCUUCUGUAGGUUGGUUUUGUUAGCGGAGAGAGGUGGAAUAGGUUCUUGUCUUUGCGAAAGCAAAGAUUUCAGACAUGAGAUGGAGAGCAGUUAUCGGGUCUGGGCUGGACUCUGUAGCACAACAUACUGGGCUGUCCCUGGUGUGCUCCCGAGUUUCUGUUGCUGCUUUGUUUUCCUUAGGCCGCACUCACGCACACAGGCUGAUUGCUAACUUCCUUCCUAAUGGUUUGUGGUGGUAGGACAAGGCGGUCACGUUUGUAUGCAGAAACUACUAAAUGAACGACUGCUCCUUAAUCUACCUCUGUGUCAGUUGUAU
rnacentral:lncRNA from 1 species